CCUGAGAAGCUCAGACACCUGAAAACUAUCUUCACAUCAGGAGAAUCAAGUCACAUUGCCAGGAUGCAGCAAAGUGUGUUCUUCUUGAAGAGUGUCAGUCACUUUCGUCUUAAAAGAUGCAGACAAGCACUUAAAGGCUGUCAAUCAUUUCCCUUGAGGGGAGACAAGAAACUUUUAACAUAUGAAUUGCCAAUAUUUUUCCACAGUAAGAUCCCAGUGACCAGUAGGCACUUUGAACUUUAAAGGAGGGAGUCCUUCCUCUCAGGUGAGAAGAACUGUGGUCUCAAGAAGGCAAAAGUAUCAGAACAGUUAACCAUCAGAAGACUGCACAACCUAUGCACAAUCAUUUGCUACACCUUCAGUUUAUAGAGUUCAGCAGAAGUGGAUGUUUGCUCAGUCUUAGGAAACAUCCUGACCAGGCCCCCUUGUGAAUGACUGCAGGGAGGAAGAAAUUAACACAUCCCCUCCUGAGGUUGACCAGAAGGAGGAAAUAUUUAACUUGACUCCCUCCCCUCUAGUGUAAAAGAAGCCUGAAUUCUAACUCAGACAAGUUGGUUCUUUGGGAUGCAAGUUCACCAUCUUCUCAGUCUGCUGGCCUUCUGAAUAAAGUCUCUAUUCCUUGCGCAGACAACUCGUCUCUCGAUUUAUUGGCCUGUCUUGCAGCGAGCAGUACGAGGCGAGCGUACACUCGGUAAUGAAUUUCCACGCAGCCAGCCAGGAGCCUUGCUGCCCGUGGCCCGCAGCCCCGUUUGGGGAGUUUUCAGGUGAGGCCCUAGCAGCUGCCCAUCGCUUGUCUUGCGGGUCUUCCCUUCAGAGUUCCCCAAAGCGGCACCAGCUGGCAGUGCUUGGCAGUUGGAGCAAGGAAUGGACAUUCGGGAGGUGACCAGGCUCCGAGAGUGCAUACAGACGGACAAG